GAUGAAAGCUAAGUUGCAGAGUAAGUUUACAGCCCUAAAUUUUGACUUGCAUAAAACAUGACAGUGUUAAUGCUAGUGGAAACAUCUCUGGUUUACAGGAGAAUUGUUCAAUUUACUGCUGAGGCUGUGACUCUGUGGAACUUACCAGCAGUUACAGGGUAGAAGCUUCCAUUUGCAGAUGGUGCCAUUGAAACAAAAGCUGUUCCUUCUUUAUCCCACUAUAUUUAGUGUGGAGGAUGAAGUACAACAUAUGACCUGGAAAUGCUGCAAACUGAGUAUGAGGGAGCAGAUCCAUGAUACGGAGAAGAAAAGAGAAGCUACAAAAGAAAAUAAUAUUUUUUGUAUUACAGUCAUUCUUUAUAAAUUAUUAUACUUUACUUAAUCUACUCUGUCAAGUAUAAAAGUAUAUCUAAAAUGUGGUUGAGAGGAGGAUAUUACAUUAUAUGACAUCGUUCACUUGUGUUAAUGACUCUGUACUUUGCACAAAGUGGAGGGCAUUGGCUAGCAGAUAAUACCAUAAAAAAUACAUAUCAUUGGCUACAUUUCUUAAAAGGAGCCUGUUUAUGCAAAGAGCUGUUUUUUUCAGGUUCUAAACCAGCUGUGACACCAUGCUGUCCUUUGAGAGAUAUUUUAUUGGGCAACAGAUCAGUGUUGGAGGUCAAAAGAGCAACAGCAAUAGAUGUAUCAUGUUCCCUGGGGCUCCCUGGGGGCAGGUUGAGACAAUAAUUAGAAAAACUGCAAAGUCUGUGGGAAUAAAAUUCUUGCUGUUCUUGUG